GACGAACGCUGGCGGCGUGCUUAACACAUGCAAGUCGAACGGAAAGGCCCUGCUUGCAGGGUGCUCGAGUGGCGAACGGGUGAGUAACACGUGGGUGAUCUGCCCCUUACUUUGGGAUAAGCCUGGGAAACUGGGUCUAGUACUGGAUAGGACCAUGCUGUAGGUGGUGUGGUGGAAAGAUUAGUUUCGGUAAGGGAUGAGCUCGCGGCCUAUCAGCUUGUUGGUGGGGUAAUGGCCUACCAAGGCGUCGACGGGUAGCCGGCCUGAGAGGGUGGACGGCCAAAUUGGGACUGAGAUACGGCCCAGACUCCUACGGGAGGCAGCAGUGGGGAAUAUUGCACAAUGGGCGCAAGCCUGAUGCAGCGACGCCGCGGGGGGGAUGACGGCCUUCGGGUUGUAAACUCCUUUCAGCCAUGACGAAGCCCUUGUGGUGACGGUAGUGGUAGAAGAAGCACCGGCUAACUACGUG
rnacentral:rRNA from 1 species